UACUAAAAAUGUGUAAUUUUUACUUUCUAAAGGGAAAAGAUGUUUUUAUAAUUGAUCUCCACAUCCCUCCUACAUGGCUCCAGCCUUUGUCCUGUGACCCUUUGUGUAGUCUUCCAGUAAACUGUCAAAAGAAAGAUCUCCUGAUUUUCCCUCUCUGGACCCCAGGACAUUUUCUUCUCUGUAUUGAAUGUGUCAGUAGCAAAGACUGGUAUCACUGAGACUGCAUGAGCAGACCAAACUUUCAUUUGUCUGGGAUCCCAAGACCCUGUGUAAAGUGUGUUAAUGUGUGUUUAAAUACAAGUGUUUUUGAUAAUUAAAUAUGUCAUAUUAUAUGUCGUGACUUCUCCUCAUUUGUGAA